rnacentral:rRNA from 1 species
GACGAACGCUGGCGGUAGGCCUAACACAUGCAAGUCGAACGGCAGCACAGGAGAGCUUGCUCUCUGGGUGGCGAGUGGCGGACGGGUGAGGAAUACAUCGGAAUCUACUCUGUCGUGGGGGAUAACGUAGGGAAACUUACGCUAGUACCGCAUACGACCUACGGGUGAAAGCAGGGGACCUUCGGGCCUUGCGCGAUUGAAUGAGCCGAUGUCGGAUUAGCUAGUUGGCGGGGUAAAGGCCCACCAAGGCGACGAUCCGUAGCUGGUCUGAGAGGAUGAUCAGCCACACUGGAACUGAGACACGGUCCAGACUCCUACGGGAGGCAGCAGUGGGGAAUAUUGGACAAUGGGCGCAAGCCUGAUCCAGCCAUACCGCGUGGGUGAAGAAGGCCUUCGGGUUGUAAAGCCCUUUUGUUGGGAAAGAAAUCCAGCUGGCUAAUACCCGGUUGGGAUGACGGUACCCAAAGAAUAAGCACCGGCUAACUUCGCGCCAGCCGCCGCGGUAAGAC